AACGAACGCUGGCGGCAUGCCUAACACAUGCAAGUCGAACGAGACCUUCGGGUCUAGUGGCGCACGGGUGCGUAACGCGUGGGAACCUGCCCUUAGGUUCGGAAUAACUCCCCGAAAGGGGUGCUAAUACCGGAUAAUGUCUUCGGACCAAAGAUUUAUCGCCUUUGGAUGGGCCCGCGUUGGAUUAGCUAGUUGGUAGGGUAAAAGCCUACCAAGGCGACGAUCCAUAGCUGGUCUGAGAGGAUGAUCAGCCACACUGGGACUGAGACACGGCCCAGACUCCUACGGGAGGGAGCAGUGGGGAAUAUUGGACAAUGGGCGGAGGCCUGAUCCAGCAAUGCCGCGUGAGUGAUGAAGGCCUUAGGGUUGUAAAGCUCUUUUACCCGGGAUGAUAAUGACAGUACCGGGAGAAUAAGCUCCGGCUAACUCCGUG
rnacentral:rRNA from 1 species